rnacentral:rRNA from 1 species
GACGAACGCUGGCGGCGUGCUUAACACAUGCAAGUCGAACGGAAAGGCCCUGCUUUUGUGGGGUGCUCGAGUGGCGAACGGGUGAGUGACACGUGAGUAACCUGCCCUUGACUUUGGGAUAACUUCAGGAAACUGGGGCUAAUACCGGAUAGGAGCUCCUGCUGCAUGGUGGGGGUUGGAAAGUUUCGGCGGUUGGGGAUGGACUCGCGGCUUAUCAGCUUGUUGGUGGGGUAGUGGCUUACCAAGGCUUUGACGGGUAGCCGGCCUGAGAGGGUGACCGGCCACAUUGGGACUGAGAUACGGACCAGACUCCUACGGGAGGCAGCAGUGGGGAAUAUUGCACAAUGGGCGGAAGCCUGAUGCAGCAACGCCGCGUGCGGGAUGACGGCCUUCGGGUUGUAAACCGCUUUCGCCUGUGACGAAGCGUGAGUGACGGUAAUGGGUAAAGAAGCACCGGCUAACUACGUG